rnacentral:rRNA from 1 species
UCUCCUACGGGGGGCAGCAGUCGGGAAUAUUGCACAAUGGAGGAAACUCUGAUGCAGUGACACCGCGUAUAGGAAGAAGGUUUUCGGAUUGUAAACUAUUUUAGACAGGGAAGAAAAAAGACAGUACCUGUAGAAUAAGCUCCGGCUAACUACGUGCCAGCAGCCGCGGUAAUACGUAGGGGGCAAGCGUUAUCCGGAUUCACUGGGCGUAAAGGGAGCGCAGGCGGCACGGCAAGUCUGAUGUGAAAACCCGGGGCUCAACCCCGGGACGGCAUUGGAAACUGCCGGGCUGGAGUG